CGACCUCAGAGUAGGUGAAACUACCCGCUGAAUUU
rnacentral:rRNA from 1 species